CCUACGGGAGGCAGCAGUGAGGAAUAUUGGUCAAUGGACGAGAGUCUGAACCAGCCAAGUAGCGUGAAGGAUGACUGCCCUAUGGGUUGUAAACUUCUUUUAUAUGGGCAUACCCCGUUCCACGUGUGGGAUUUUGUAUGUACCAUAUGAAUAAGGAUCGGCUAACUACGUGCCAGCAGCCGCGGUAAUACGGAGGAUCCGAGCGUUAUCCGGAUUUAUUGGGUUUAAAGGGAGCGUAGGUGGAUUGUUAAGUCAGUUGUGAAAGUUUGCGGCUCAACCGUAAAAUUGCAGUUGAAACUGGCAGUCUUGAGUACAGUAGAGGUGGGCGGAAUUCGUGGUGUAGCGGUGAAAUGCUUAGAUAUCACGAAGAACUCCGAUUGCGAAGGCAGUUCACUGGACUGCAACUGACACUGAGGCUCGAAAGUGUGGGUAUCAAACAGGAUUAGAUACCCGAGUAGUC
rnacentral:rRNA from 1 species